GUGUUGUUUUUUAAGGGCACACGGUGGAUGCCUUGGCAUUAUGAGCCGAUGAAGGACGUGUAAGGCCGCGAUAGGCCUCGGGGAGUUGCCAAUAGAGCGUUGAUCCGAGGGUGUCCGAAUGGGGAAACCUGGCUGCAGUUAUGUGUGGUUACCCUUCAGUGAAUUCAUAGCUGUUGUGGGGGUUUACGCGGGGAAGUGAAACAUCUCAGUACCCGUAGGAGAAGAAAACAAUUGUGAUUCCGUUAGUAGUGGCGAACGAACGUGGAUGAGGCUAAACCAUGUGCGUGUGAUACCUGGCAGGGGUUGCGUGUGUGGUGUUGUGGGGUGUGUGCGUGAAAAGGCUGCCAUCUUUUUGCUGGUUUGUGCAUGUGUUAGCGGAAGUGGUGUGGGAACGCCUGCCGUAGAAGGUGAGAGUCCUGUACGUGAAAGCAUGUGUGCGCUGGUUGUGCAUGUCCCCGAGUAGCAGCGGGCUCGUGGAAUCUGCUGUGAAUCUGCCGGGACCACCCGGUAAGCCUAAAUACUUGUGAUGACCGAUAGCGGAUGAGUACCGUGAGGGAAUGGUGAAAAGUACCCCCGGGAGGGGAGUGAAAUAGUACCUGAAACCGUGUGCUUACAAUCCGUCAGAGCCUUUUUUGUGGGGUGAUGGCGUGCCUUUUGAAGAAUGAGCCUGCGAGUCAGCGGCAUGUCGCGAGGUUAACCUUUUGGUGGGUAGCCGUAGCGAAAGCGAAUCCUAACGAGGGUGUUGUUAGUGGCAUGUCCUGGACCCCGAAGCGGGGUGAUCUACCCAUGGCCAGUGUGAAGCAGAGGUAAGACUUUGUGGAGGCGCGAACCCACUUAGGUUGAAAACUGAGGGGAUGAGCUGUGGGUAGGGGUGAAAGGCCAAUCAAACUCCGUGAUAGCUGGUUCUCCCCGAAAUGCAUUUAGGUGCAGCGUUGCGUGUUUCUUGCUGGAGGUAGAGCUACUGGUUGGUUGAGCGGGACUACAAUCUUAGCAAUGUCAGCCAAACUCCGAAUGCCGGUAAUGUUAUAGCGUGGCAGUGAGACUGCGGGGGAUAAGCUCCGUUGGUCGAGAGGGAAACAGCCCAGAUCGCCCGGUUAAGGCCCCUAAGGGUGUACUAAGUGGAAAAGGAUGUGGGAUCGCGAAGACAGCCAGGAGGUUGGCUUAGAAGCAGCCAUCCUUGAAAGAGUGCGUAAUAGCUCACUGGUCGAGUGGUUCUGCGCCGACAAUGUAGUGGGGCUCAAGUACACCGCCGAAGCCGCGGCAGUCAACUUUUUGUUGGUUGGGUAGGGGAGCGUCGUGCAUGUGGUGAAGCAUUUGGGUGACCGGGUGUGGAGUGUGUGCGAGUGAGAAUGCAGGCAUGAGUAACGAAUGAAAAGUGGAAAACUUUUCCGCCGGAUGACUAAGGGUUCCUGGGUUAAGCUAAUCUUCCCAGGGUGAGUCGGGACCUAAGGCGAGGCCGACAGGCGUAGUCGAUGGAUAACCAGUUGAUAUUCUGGUACCCGUGGUGAUGCGACAAGUGGUGAAUCAGUGGUACUAACCGCCCAUUAAUUGCAUGUGUUCAUACUUUGUGUGGGUGUGUGUGGUUGUGCGUGGGACCUUCGUUGGUAGUAGCCAAGUGAUGGGGGUGACGCAGUGAGGUAGCCGAGCCACUUAUUGGAUUGUGGUGUAAGCGUGUGGCCCCGUGGCAUAGGUAAAUCCGUGCUGCUUGUAAGGGUGAGGCGUGAUGCGUACCCUUUUUUGGGGAUGUUGGUGAUCCUGUACUGUCGAGAAAAGCCUCUAGCGAGUGUCAUUAUGGCCCGUACCCCUAAACCGACACAGGUGGUCAGGUAGAGAAUACUAAGGCGAUCGGGUGAACUGUGGUUAAGGAACUCGGCAAAAUGCCCCCGUAACUUCGGGAGAAGGGGGACCAUUGUUGGUGACAGACUGAUGGAGCUGAUGGUGGUCGCAGAGAAUAGAGGGAAGCGACUGUUUAUUAAAAACACAGGUCCGUGCGAAAACGUGGAAGUUGAUGUAUACGGACUGACGCCUGCCCGGUGCUGGAAGGUUAAGAGGACCUGUUAGAUCUCUUUUGGGGGUCGAAGCGGAGAAUUUAAGCCCCAGUAAACGGCGGUGGUAACUAUAACCAUCCUAAGGUAGCGAAAUUCCUUGUCGGGUAAGUUCCGACCUGCACGAAUGGCGUAACGACUUCCCUGCUGUCUCAACCACAGGCCCGGUGAAAUUGCAGUACGAGUAAAGAUGCUCGUUACGCGCGGCAGGACGAAAAGACCCCGGGACCUUCACUAUAGCUUGGUAUUGGUGUUUGGUUCGGUUUGUGUAGGAUAGGUGGGAGACUGUGAUACUGCGCCGCUAGGUGUGGUGGAGUCGCAAGUUGAAAUACCACUCUGAUCGGAUUGAGCACCUUAACCUUGGCCCAUGAUCUGGGUUGGGGACAGUGCCUGGUGGGUAGUUUAACUGGGGCGGUUGCCUCCUAAAAUGUAACGGAGGCGCCCAAAGGUUCCCUCAGCCUGGUUGGCAAUCAGGUGGUGAGUGUAAGUGCACAAGGGAGCUUGACUGUGAGACUGACAGGUCGAGCAGGGACGAAAGUCGGGACUAGUGAUCCGGCACCUACUUGUGGAAGUGGUGUCGCUCAACGGAUAAAAGGUACCCCGGGGAUAACAGGCUGAUCUUCCCCAAGAGUCCAUAUCGACGGGAUGGUUUGGCACCUCGAUGUCGGCUCGUCGCAUCCUGGGGCUGGAGUAGGUCCCAAGGGUUGGGCUGUUCGCCCAUUAAAGCGGCACGCGAGCUGGGUUUAGAACGUCGUGAGACAGUUCGGUCUCUAUCCGCCGUGCGCGUUGAAACUUGAAGAAGGCUGUCCCUAGUACGAGAGGACCGGGACGGACGUACCUCUAGUGUGCCAGUUGUCACGCCCAGUGGCAGGGCUGGUUGGCUACGUACGGAAGGGAUAACCGCUGAAAGCAUCUAAGCGGGAAGCCUGUUUUAAGAUGAGGUUUCUUUUGAGGUUCCCCUCGAGACGAGGGGGUUGAUAGGCCAGAUCUGGAAGAGUGGUAACACUUGGAGGUGACUGGUACUAAUUUACCGAUAAACAACCAUUUGUGUGUGGAUGUGUUGUGCC
rnacentral:rRNA from 1 species